rnacentral:rRNA from 1 species
GACGAACGCUGGCGGCGUGCUUAACACAUGCAAGUCGAACGGAAAGGCCCUGCUUGCAGGGUACUCGAGUGGCGAACGGGUGAGUAACACAUGGGUGAUCUGCCCUGCACUUCGGGAUAAGCCUGGGAAACUGGGUCUAAUACCGGAUAUGACCUUCCAUGUAGUGUGGGGGGUGGAAAGAUUUAUCGGUGUGGGAUGAGCCCGCGGCCUAUCAGCUUGUUGGUGGGGUAAUGGCCUACCAAGGCGUCGACGGGUAGCCGGCCUGAGAGGGUGGACGGCCACAUUGGGACUGAGAUACGGCCCAGACUCCUACGGGAGGCAGCAGUGGGGAAUAUUGCACAAUGGGCGGAAGCCUGAUGCAGCGACGCCGCGUGGGGGAUGACGGCCUUCGGGUUGUAAACCUCUUUCGACAGGGACGAAGCUUCGGUGACGGUACCUGUAGAAGAAGCACCGGCUAACUACGUG